AGGGGAAGAGUCAGCGGUGCCAGAAGAUUUUGAUCAGGGGACUCAGCACCCCAGCGCGUAGGUUGUGAUUCGGAUCCGUAUUUGAGUCAGUCUACAAUUUCGGUAAGAAUCCCUACAUCUGAGCACCUCUAUGCAUAUGUUUGAUUUAUCGUUGAGAUUAUUUUAUAAUUAUGUUGUUAUUUGUUUUAUGAGCUGAUAUGACAUAUAUGAGGUGUGCAUCUUGAUUGCUAUGGAAAUAUUAAAAUAAUUCAAUUGGGAAGAAUUAUCAUGUUUUUGAAAAUACAUGGAAUAUGUAAUGUGAUUGGAAUUGGAUUAAACAUGUAUGAUUAGACAUGUAAAGAAAAAUGGGUUGGACUAGCCUCGUCAUGAGAUAGCCUCUACGAGCUUAUGCGUAGGAUAGCUGCCACGAGCUGAUGCGUGGGAUAGCCUCCACGAGCUUAUGCGUAGGAUAGCCUCCACGAGCUUAUGCGUGGGAUAGCCUCCACGGGCUUACGCGUGGGAUAGCUGCCACGAGCUUAUGCGUGGGAUUUGUGCAGUCUUGGACUGGGUUAUGAUCUUGGUUAAUCCAAAGCCAGAAUGAAAAGUCUUAAAACUUGGGGAUCAGAGUAAUACGAAAGUGGAUCACAUAAUGUGUAAAAAGGAUUUAUGUAUAUGUACUGAUUAUAUAUACUUGUUGUUUGUUGAGCUUUUGAAAUGAUGAAAUGACAUUUAUUUGUUACUUUGAUUAUUUUAUUAUUAUUACUGUGUAUGGCUGUUAGGAUUCUUACUGGGCUGGAAAAGCUCAUACUACACUUACUUUCUUUUUCAGAGGCACUGAAUUUGUAGAGACUAUUAGGUGGGACGAAAAAUAAGAUCAGCAUGGAGUCUGACUGCUAGAUAGAUAGAAGUUAAUUUAUCUUUUGCUUGUGGACAUUUGAAAUUAUGUAAUUAAUCAGUACAUUUUAGUUGGAUUUGGUUUAAUUACAUUAAUCAUUAAUUUUGACAUCUAUGUGAAUAUUGUACCUUUUAGGCCUUACAUGAUCUCUAGGGUUCUACUUUAGGGAUUAUGUGGCCGUGUCACGUGGUCGACCCGAGUGAUGGGUCUGGGGCGUGACAGAUUUGGUAUCAAAGCUUAAAGUUUAGGAAUCCUAGGGUUUAGGCUCGAGUAAGCCUGAGUGGGGAAAAGCACUAAACACGUAAGAUAUUAUAAUGGUGUGAUUAGCAUAUUAAGGAUGCAAAAUUGUCUCAAUCUGAUAAUCUUGAUGCUGGAAAAAUUGUAUAGGUUGAUAUGGCGCGAGGGCGUGGUCGGGGGCGUGCCAGAAGGCCGACCCGAUUUGCGGACGGCUCCACGGCUUGGGCACCCUCUGGACAGCAGGAGGGUACCUCAUCCACGCCGACUCGGGGUGUGCCACAACAGGAGCACACUAUUGACC
rnacentral:lncRNA from 1 species